rnacentral:lncRNA from 1 species
CACUGCCACAGGAAAAGGACGAAACAAUCACAUUUAUCAGAAGAGACAAGUGAAGUCAUCACAUCACAGCAACAAGGGAAUAUAAAUAAAGAGAAUGACAGACAAAGUACAGUAAAAUCCAUCAAGCUCCUAAUGUCGGAUUUGGUAUCCAGGUAUGUAUGACCUAUGAAUUAUGAUCCUAUUUGAACUCCAUUUGUAUUUAUCAAGAAUGAAAUAGCAACAAACAUAGAGAAACUACUGCCAUGAUCUUUCCUGAGUAAGAUAAACAGCUGCCUCAUGUCCAGUCGUUAACCACUUCACAUUUGCAUUACACAUUUUGUACCCUUCAUAAAGCAGCAGCAAACAAUGCUGUUUACUGAAUUAGAGAGCUUGAAAUUACUUUCCUGACUGGCAAGCAACUGUGUUGGGGUUUGGAAUGCUUUCCUGUAAAGUAAAACUAAAAUCAGCAGCUGCAUCAGACUGCAUUUUCCGCUAUUCCUAAUUCUUGUGUUUCUUGUGGUUUUUUACAGAUUAUAUCAUCAAUUGAGAUUCAGUCGGCAGAUGGUGGAUCAAGAAACUUUCCCCAAGCCUUUCUGUGAGGAAUACUAUGAAAAGAAUUGGAAUAAGGACAGUUUAUAACUAGUCAUAGGCUCAUAGCUGAAUGAUAGUACUAUAACUAACCUCGUACAGGGGGAAAAUAAUAUCCCCCCCAAAAAAAUACAGAAACAACUCACAAGCAUCAUGGGAAUGGCCAUCUAAUCAGCCUAAAAAUUGGGCACUACAGUACUCACUAUGUAUCACAAAGACAUGUAGUAUGUCAUAUAAUCUACUAGUGACAGUCAAGAAGCACCAGGCAAAUUAUUGGUGCAGUGCAGUGCAAAGAAAGGUUGAAUCUUUAAGAAUCUGGAUGGAAUGCUUAGAAGUAGGUACCCAGUACCAG